rnacentral:rRNA from 1 species
AGAGUUUGAUCCUGGCUCAGAUUGAACGCUGGCGGCAUGCCUUACACAUGCAAGUCGAACGGCAGCACGGGAGCAAUCCUGGUGGCGAGUGGCGAACGGGUGAGUAAUGUAUCGGAACGUGCCCAGUCGUGGGGGAUAACGCAGCGAAAGCUGUGCUAAUACCGCAUACGAUCUAUGGAUGAAAGCGGGGGAUCGCAAGACCUCGCGCGAUUGGAGUGGCCGAUAUCAGAUUAGCUAGUUGGUGGGGUAAAAGCUUACCAAGGCGACGAUCUGUAGCUGGUCUGAGAGGACGACCAGCCACACUGGAACUGAGACACGGUCCAGACUCCUACGGGAGGCAGCAGUGGGGAAUUUUGGACAAUGGGCGCAAGCCUGAUCCAGCAAUGCCGCGUGCAGGAUGAAGGCCUUCGGGUUGUAAACUGCUUUUGUACGGAGCGAAAAGGCUCUCUCUAAUACAGGGGGCUCAUGACGGUACCGUAAGAAUAAGCACCGGCUAACUACGUGCCAGCAGCCGCGGUAAUACGUAGGGUGCGAGCGUUAAUCGGAAUUACUGGGCGUAAAGCGUGCGCAGGCGGUCUUGUAAGACAGAUGUGAAAUCCCCGGGCUCAACCUGGGACCUGCAUUUGUGACUGCAAGGCUGGAGUACGGCAGAGGGGGAUGGAAUUCCGCGUGUAGCAGUGAAAUGCGUAGAUAUGCGGAGGAACACCGAUGGCGAAGGCAAUCCCCUGGGCCUGUACUGACGCUCAUGCACGAAAGCGUGGGGAGCAAACAGGAUUAGAUACCCUGGUAGUCCACGCCCUAAACGAUGUCAACUGGUUGUUGGGUCUUAACUGACUCAGUAACGAAGCUAACGCGUGAAGUUGACCGCCUGGGGAGUACGGCCGCAGGUUGAAACUCAAAGGAAUUGACGG